CUCUUUCUUUUUUCAUGCUUGCUAUCUUGGGAUGCGCAUCUCAGGGCGAGAUGUAUGACCCAGGCUAGAACUCGCAACCCAAGUUCUUCUGCUACCUUGGGAUGCACGUCCUAAGGUGGGAUGUGCGACCCAGGCUCCUCCUCCUGUCUCAUGCCCCAUGCAGCCUUCUUCUUUCUUUUACCGUCUCAUGUCCAUAGCCCUCCUAAUAUAGGUAUUUAAAACCCUUAAUCCUUAUCUAAUUAGGACU
rnacentral:lncRNA from 1 species